UAUAUUGAAAAAUACAUAUAAACAGAAAAUUAAAUUUUAGCUGUCAUCGUACGUGACUGGAAUACAAAACAUAAAUAUUGCGUAGUCACGUGAAAAGGUGCCAAAAUGUCUUUAAAGCGUAAAAGCAUAUGGGCGAUACUGCUGAAAAUGGUGUGAAUGGUCGACUAUUUAAUGGAAUUCAAAUGUAAAAUCAAAGUUAAGAUAAUGCAAACCAAAGCACAGGUAACUCUUAAGUAUUUACGAUUUGAUGUCUUGGUAAAGAUUGAAAGACUCAAGAAGCACAUGGAUUAACUAGUCUUCAAGACUUGUCAGACUCUAGCUAAUAGGAAUCAAUAAAGAGGACACCCUGGGUCAACUAAUUGGUAUUGAAUUUUAUAUGAGUACAAUUAUUCAUUCAUCUCACUUACAGUUGAAGCUAGGUAUAUAAUGCCUUUGAAAAUUCAUAGCAGUUGCAGGCAACCUGGUAUUUGCAACCUUCAAUGCAGCCCACAUGUCCUUAGCCUAGGCUGACAUAAUAUUUAUUUAUUUUUUUUUUUUUUACAGAGUUUCCAUUGUGAAGGGAAUUUAAAAUAAUGUCGACUAUAUUUCCAUAAAGCUUUAUUCAUGCUUAUAGUGUACUGGAGGGUACUAUAUGCAUAUAUUGAAUAAAUUAUUGUUUACAGUACUUUCAGUAUGCCAUUAGGGUCUCGAGGCAGGGCUGGCUGGGUCCUUUUGAGCGCUUUGACUAGGUGCGUCUGCUCAGGGUGCAUCUUUAUUUAGCGCUGUUUGAUAACCACAACCGAUGCCAUUGUUGCUGCGGUCUGAAUUUUAAUUACAGUUCUUUGAGUAGCAAGGAAGCUUGCAUCAUUUUAAUGACACAAAGUCGCUUAGGAUACACACACCGUCUGCCUCCGUCUACGGCACUGGAAUGCACCCGAGUAAAUGCAACUGAAGUCGGGGCGCGCUUUGCAACCUGUUUGUGUCAUAUGCAAAUAGACAUCGGUCUUAGUAUCCUUUCUGCUUUUGGUAUGCAAAAGCUGCAACGGCAGCCAAUGAUGAGCAGGACCUACGGAUUUUGUGCGUGCCACAGCCACAAUGGCAACCCAAUCGACCCUAGCUGCAGAUGAAAGCCUGAAAACAUGGAAUGCGAAGUUGAUGCACCAAGCUCAAAUGCCCACCGGCAGACAUACUAAUUGACGGUAUGCAAUUUCCCAUACAAUCGUUCGUUGAUUCAGCAAAUAUUUGGAGAUAUCAGGUUUUUUUUGAAACGCAAAUUGAACCCAACCGUUGGAUGAAGAAACAACUGCAGGCAUUUGGUCCUUCACCUAAUUAAAUCAACCUUGAGCCAAUGAAUUGCUUUAAAGCAUUGCUUUGAAAUCAAUGGCAUUAGGUCAUCACCAAUUGCCAAUCGGCAAGAUAUUGCCAAGUGCCCUAAUUAAUCAGUCACAACAUAUUCAUUUGCAUAUUACGCAUAAUGGGCGUCAUGCUUACAGCUGCACAGUUUGAACUGCACAAACAUACACUGAGAAAAAGAAACCAGGAUAUAUGCGGAUCAACAGUCUCUUGAGCUAUGUGGGAAACGCAUUCAAAAACUUUAACCAGCUUAUUUAAAGUGCAAAGUCAACUUGUGUUAGGAACCUAAAGAACCCAAAAGAACAUUAUUUAAAGAAAAAUUAUUUCAUAUUCAAAAUACCACAUCAACCUGCUUAAAGCGAAAUAGUGUUGAAUAGAAUUCCUUGACUGAGACUUUUUUCUCAGUGGACGUAUGCAAUCAUAUUCAUAGUAGACAAUAUUGUGUAUACACAAUAUAUUCACACUUCGACUAGAAUGAAUAGUUUUAUGCGUCAAUGAGGACGAGGCAGGGGCUAGAGUUCGGACUGUGCCUGGAAACUGCUCUGUUGCCAUAGAGAGUGAGAUUGUCUGGCGCCACCACAAAAUUAAUAGACUUUGAUGUCGAAGCCCGACAAACUCAUUUUGUGAGCUGCUGCGCCCCGCCUACCCCAAGUGGGGCCGGGCCAAAAUGGGACGCAUGCCGCAUAAAUUUGGCAGAUUGAGCACUGAAAUAAUGUUGCGUCUCGGCGCAGUAACGAAAUGAACUAAUUUGUUAUAGAAAUCAAGUUGCCAUUUGCCUGGGCCAUUCCGCUGUCAUAUCCAAUAUUAAAUCAGUUAUGUUUGGCUGAACAAUAAUGGCCUGUUUUUGGAAUGGCAACGCGCAAGGCGGGCCACACAUGGCCUUAGACAAUAUAGUAAUUCGUAAGACAACAAAAUGUCUAGCCGCUGUAGCAUACAACUAAAAGAAAAUGCCAACGAACUAGAAGACCAGACUAGACAAGACUAGAGGAUACCCUUUAGAUCAUACAUUUUAAAUAAGGGUAUUCAAAUGCUAAGAACAAGCUGGGCUAAGGAUGGAAUUGCCUUUUGCUACUAUCACUCGUAUAAAAGUGGCAUAGGCAAUGCGAAAAUCCGACAAAAACGAGCGGGUAAGCGAAUCGGAAGCGACCGUCUCAUCAUUAUAAGAGAAAAUUGUUUUUGAAAACGUAAAUCGAGAACAAAAUGACCAGAAGCCUACGGCAUGUCAACGCAACAAUGGCCCAAAUAGAUAGACAAACAGGCUCUAAAGGAAACUUGAUGAACCGACCAGAGCAGGCGGUGUGUGUGUUGUGUGUGCGUUGUGUGUGUGUUUGCUGAUGCUGGUGGUUGCGGUGGUUGCGGUGGUUCCGGUGCGGUAAUCAUAUUUAUUUUUGGUCUUUGGGGUUUGAAAUGCAUUCGAGUGUAAAAAAAAUGCUUUAAACUUAUUUCGGUCGCUUGGCUGCUGAAAAAACAUGAACCUAACUUUGAACUUGUAUCAGGUGUAAUUUCAGGUGGCAAUACUUAUGCAGGCAUUUUAUUUUUACUUUUUUUGCAAUUACAGAUUUGUAUAUUUUCGGAAAUUUCCCCAGAUGCUAUUGAAGGACUCACGCGGCGGGGUGAGUGUGCUUAAGUUUUACAUUUUUAUGCUGGGGCAAUGCCAAACGUUCCAUUGGACCCUUGAAACUAAUUUUUGGUUGGGCGUGGCACACAAAAUGCACUCAAUUUGACAGUUUACAGAAUGCGACGAAUUUUUAUUCAUUUCAUAAAGUUUACCUGAAACGCCAGCGCAGCGAGGCAAAUGCGCACACAGCAAGGAGCCGCUCGAGCUGCUGAACGGGCGACGAGCCAGUCCAAGGAGAAGCCCAUGGCAUGUGGCAAUUUCGACCGGAAGAGCCGAAGUCUGUGAAUAAUUCAUUUAAAACAUUAUUUAUUAUAAUUUUAUAUUAAGUACAUGCAGUGGUUACUUUAUUGCAUUGCUGUUACAGCUCGAGACAGGCAAAUGAAAAAGCGAAUUGCUUAAAUUGAAAACCACAGGCUGACAGCUAAUGCCUUACCGGAAAUUAAUUAAAUGUGUUUGGCAGUUUAUUGAAAAAUCUAUUGUCAAGUAUCUAAGAUGUACCAAGGAUUAGAAAAAGUAACUAGAGGCCAUGUCAGAAACAUAAUAAGAAUUGGGAGCGCAAAGGCGUGGUCGCGGUUCAGUUUUCAGCAAAUCUUCGUGAUGGUCUUUACUUGGCAAUAAUAUCUUCAACCUAUCCUGCAUUGAGUGGCAUUAUGAUUAAUGAUGCGACCCAUUUGUGACAUAACUUUAAUACCCGAGGGACACUAAAGAAUACAUGCACAUCAAUAUCCAAAAGUCUGAAAUCAAUAUUUGUACAAUAAAUUCAACAUUUAUCGACAAAGUGAAAA